rnacentral:rRNA from 1 species
AGUGAACGCUGGCGGUAGGCCUAACACAUGCAAGUCGAACGGCAGCACAGUAAGAGCUUGCUCUUACGGGUGGCGAGUGGCGGACGGGUGAGGAAUACAUCGGAAUCUACUUUUUCGUGGGGGAUAACGUAGGGAAACUUACGCUAAUACCGCAUACGACCUACGGGUGAAAGCAGGGGAUCUUCGGACCUUUCGCGAUUGAAUGAGCCGAUGUCGGAUUAGCUAGUUGGCGGGGUAAAGGCCCACCAAGGCGACGAUCCGUAGCUGGUCUGAGGGGAUGAUCAGCCACACUGGAACUGAGACACGGUCCAGACUCCUACGGGAGGCAGCAGUGGGGAAUAUUGGACAAUGGGCGCAAGCCUAAUCCAGCCAUACCGCGUGGGUGAAGAAGGCCUUCGGGUUGUAAAGCCCUUUUGUUGGGAAAGAAAAGCAGCAGGUUAAUACCCCGCUGUUCUGACGGUACCCAAAGAAUAAGCACCGGCUAACUUCGUG